CGCGUGGGAAUCUCGCCAGUAGGCGGGGGACAACGUACGGGGAAACUCGAGACUAAUACCGCAUACCGCCCGUACGGGGGAAAGGCUUCGGCCACUAUUGGAUGAGCCCGCGUCGGAUUAGCUUGUUGGUGGGGUAAUGGCCUACCAAGGCGACGAUCCGUAGCUGGUCUGAGAGGAUGAUCAGCCACACUGGGACUGAGACACCGGCCCAGACUCCGUACGGGAGGCAGCAGGUGGGGAAUAUUGGACAAUGGGCGAAAGUCUGACGCAGCAACGCCGCGUGGGUGAUGAAGGCCCUUGGGUCGUAAAGCCCUGUCAGGAGGGAAGAAUGAGCAGGCGGUUAAUACCCGUCUGAAGUGACGGUACCUCCAAAGGAAGCACCGGCUAACUCCGUG
rnacentral:rRNA from 1 species